UACAGAGGGGCAAGCGUUGUUCGGAAUUACUGGGCGUAAAGGGCGCGUAGGCGGCCUGUUAAGUCGAACGUGAAAUCCCCGGGCUCAACCCGGGAACUGCGUCCGAUACUGGCAGGCUUGAAUUCGGGAGAGGGAUGCGGAAUUCCAGGUGUAGCGGUGAAAUGCGUAGAUAUCUGGAGGAACACCGGUGGCGAAGGCGGCAUCCUGGACCGAGAUUGACG
rnacentral:rRNA from 1 species